GGAUAUGUACCGGUGAAGGAAGUUAAUUCAGUGCGUUCGCGAUAGUACCUUCACGAACGAGCGCGACGAUUCACCUCGAUCGGGCAAGCGUGUCUUUCGACUCUGCGACGCGCGUCGGCUCCGCAAAAAGAAGAAAGGCAUCUGGAUACCGUGUGCGCGAUCUCAAGUCACGAUAUCAGUGAUACGAGUCAAUUUAUUUGACUUCUUUGAUUAUCGCGGGCGGCUACGCGGACUCACGUGUCGGAGCAGUGGAUAAUUUCUUUCUUUCCGAAAAUACCCCCAAUAAAUAUCAAUCAAUAGUAACGUAACAUCAAUGUUAUAAUUUUAUACUCAAUAAUGUAACGUUAUAUACAAUAUAUGUUGUCACAUUUAUAUUGUUGAGUGUGAAAUAAUAAUAUUGAUAUUACGUUACAAUUAGUUGAUAAUUAUUGUAAAUUGAUUCCGUUAACGAUAUCUCGCCGUUUAUUCUUUGUUUCUCUUUUUCUCUCCUGCUGUUUACGUGAAUAUAAUCAGAUGUGUCUCUAUUCUGCUCUGUUUUUUGAACCUAUGAUUUUUUACCCUGCAGAGUCUCCUGUGUUUUAGGAUCUAAAUUAAAGCUCUGUCGCUUGACAUCGCCGUCUUAUCUGACGAAUAGAGAGACUAAACUACACGAAUUGUCAUCGAUCAAGUCACAAUAUUCUUCGCUGAAGCUUACCAUGCAGCAAUAUAUCUCAUCUUUGAAUUCUCUCGGAAAAAAUUGAUUCUCUUACAUUCUCCAUGUGUGAACUUGAAGAUCGUCAAGUAAGACCGUCAAGCAACUUAAAACAAGACUUGAGAUAUGAGUUUUAGUGCUCUAGAGAGUAAGGCCAUCAUUUGCGUCGUGUGUCUAACUGUUGACCCACAACUUGUGGCUCUUCUUAAGAGAUUUGUACGAUGUAGAUUAAGCUCCAAACUC